AGGUGCGAUCAUACUAGCACUAAUACACCGGAUCCCAUCAAAACUCCGCAGUCAAGCGUGCUUGGGCGAGAGUAGUACUAGGAUGGGUGACCUCCUGGAAAGUCCUCGUGUUGCACUUG
rnacentral:rRNA from 1 species